CGGGCUGCGGCCGCCGCGCUCGCAGCACCGUGGGCCCCGGCGGGCGGCCCCCCUGGGCAGCGGGUCGGGUCCCAGCGAGCGCGCCCCGGCCCCGCCGGCGCUGCCCGAGAGCGCCAUGAGCUCGGAGCCGCCCCGCGCCUCGCUGCUCCGCACCCUGUUUAAGAUGGAGCCGGCGGCGGCUGCCUCCGAAGUGCUGGGGGGAGCCUCGGAGUUCGUGAAAGAUCGGUUGUACUUCGCUACUUUACGAAAUAAACCGAAAAGUACAGUAAACACCCACUACUUCUGUACGGAUGAGGAACUGGUCUAUGAAAAUUUCUAUGGAGAUUUUGGACCCUUAAAUUUGGCAAUGUUAUACAGAUACUGCUGUAAACUAAAUAAGAAACUAAAGUACUUCAGUCUAUCAAGAAAGAAGAUUGUGUACUACACCAGUUUUGACCAGCGGAAACGAGCAAAUGCAGCAUUUUUAAUAGGUGCAUAUGCUGUAAUAUACUUGAAGAAAACACCAGAAGAGGCUUACAGGACACUUUUGUCUGGAUCUAAUCCACCAUAUCUUCCAUUUAGGGAUGCUUCAUUUGGGAACUGCACGUACAAUCUUACGAUCUUGGACUGUUUACAGGGAGUAAAUAAGGCCUUGCAGCAUGGAUUUUUUGACUUUAAGACAUUUGAUGUGGAUGAAUAUGAACACUAUGAGCGAGUGGAAAAUGGUGACUUCAACUGGAUUAUUCCAGGAAAAUUUUUGGCUUUUAGUGGACCACACCCAAAAAGCAAACUUGAAAAUGGUUAUCCCCUUCAUGCUCCUGAAGCCUACUUUCCCUAUUUCAAGAAACAUAAUGUCACAUCAAUCAUAAGACUAAACAAAAAAAUUUAUGAGGCAAAACGCUUUACUGAUGCUGGUUUUGAGCAUUAUGACCUGUUCUUCAUAGAUGGAAGCACACCAAGUGACAGUAUAGUUCAGAGGUUCCUGAACAUCUGUGAAAAUGCUGACGGUGCCAUUGCAGUACAUUGUAAAGCUGGCCUGGGGAGAACAGGAACGCUGAUUGCCUGUUACAUCAUGAAACACUACAAGUUCACACAUGCUGAAGCCAUUGCUUGGAUAAGAAUAUGUCGACCUGGCUCUAUUAUAGGACCCCAGCAACACUUCUUGGAAGAGAAGCAAGCAAUGUUAUGGCUGGAGGGAGAUCACAUCCGAUCAAAGCAGAAACAGCGAGUAGUGGAUGGAAACCUGAACAGAGUCCUUUGUGGCUUGAAUGACAUUUCCAUCAGUGACAGCCUGAAUAAAGGACAAGACGUGGAUCAAUACAGAGAGAAUGAUUUUGAAGACAAAGCAGAUGUGGAAACUCAGAAUGGCAUGACCCAGGGAGAUAAGCUCAAUGCCUUAAAGAGUCGGAGACGGCCUUGCUCUGCUACAACUGGAGCUCUGAGGCUGCAAGACAUGAAACUGCACACCAGGUCAAUCUCACAACCUUUCAGACUCAAUUUGUCCGGUAGCACAGAAGGAUCCAUGUCUCCUCUGAAGGCCUCCAAAGUGAUGGCAGUUAACUCUCCAUCUGCAGAAAGGAUAAGCAGACUUGCCACAUCCUCAGGAUCGAACCUCAAAAGCGUUUCCAUAAACUCCAGACUAGCCAGUUCUCUAGGGAACCUGUAUGCUGCUUCAGAUGAUGAUGAUGAGAGCAAAAUGACAUCAUCGUGCUCUAGGACAGGUUUUUCUGUAAGCCAUAUCUCCAGUCACCCGAAGGGCAGCUUGCAGCUGCCACACAGAAAUGCCCGUGAGCUGAACAACAACCUGUACAACAGGAGCAGCAGUAGUGGCACCAACCUGAGCAGCCAGAGCAGUUUGCACAGCGCCGUGACAGAUGAGUACGCAGCAGCCUUCCUUUAUGGGCCUUACAGCUCCUCCAGCACCAUCCCAGAGUCAAUUAAUUCCUAAGUGGAGGACCUACCCCCAUAUUAACAGCUAGGAUGUGGCACCACUUACUAUUCAGAAGCCGCAUGUUUAUGGCUCUGGUCCCUUCAGUCUGAGUAUGUUCAGUACUAAAGCCUUGCUGCUUUGGUGAAACCUGCUGAGCUCUUCAAACUGAUGUUCUUUAUGAUGGAGAAGAACUGAAAAAAAGGAGCUGCUCAUUAAGAGGAGGAAUCUUCAAUACAAGAUGUAUUAAAAUCUUAACACCAAGAGAAGACUUGUUAACAGGAGAAAUUUCUUGUUAAUGACUACUGCAGAUGCACUGAUGUUGAACUUAUGGAAAUUACUACCCCAUGUUAUAUACACAUUUAAAUUUUUUAUGUUGAGACAGCUUGAAUAUAUUUCUAAUGAGUUUCAUUAAGACAUUUAUUAACUUGUGUACAGUGUUAAAAUAUGUAUUAAAAGAAUAUUUUGGUAAACUAUAAAAUUAUGUAAAAAUUAGAAUAUAUUUUAAUUUAGUGUCUACUUUGCUACAAAAAUGAGUAUUUUAAAGAAUUUGUACAGGUUUAUCAAAGAUAUAAAAAUUUUUUAUGAACAAGAUGUUUUUCUUGUUUUAUGGGUCCAUCAGUAUUGCUUGAAGCCUAAUGUAAUUACUCUUUUACUAAUUGGUCUUCUGGUAAUUUGAUGGCAGUCCUAACUAAUGAGAGACUAGUUGUUACAAUAUCAACUAAAAGCACUUGCUACAUAGUCUGCUCUCCACUUUCAGCUCCUAAUGUUUCUUAAGGAAACACUAUGAAAUUAAAAUAAAGGGAAAAUAUUUGUUAAGAUGUGUUGUAGUUAUAUCUUUCACUGCAAUUUAUGUCAGGAUUCAAUUGUACAACUUAACGCUUUCAGUUUGUCUUAAAGGAAUGUUUUGGUUUUGAUUUGUAGAAUGUUAAAUUUUGCUAUGCAAUACAUGCUGCAAAAAUGAAGGCAGACCAAACUGAAGUUGGUAAGAAUGUGCAAAUGCAGUGAAUUCAGCAGCACUGCAUACUGGCAUGUUUUUAACCUACAUUUGGCAGUAUGUGUACAAUUUCCUUAGCAACACACACUGAAUGUUGGAAGUAUAUUAAAUUUUCAUUUCUCUGUUGGAUGCUUCAUAUACCUUUAAUUUUUUUGUUAAACAUAUAGUUAAGGUAACCUUCUGUAUCAUGGGAUAUUUUUGCCAGUAAUAAAGAUGCUCUGUAAUAUAUCAGAUGUUAUUAGUAAUGAGACUUAGAAUGAAAUGGUGUUACAGUGAGGUCAUAGAGAUCAGGUGUAAAAUUUUCAGAACUCCACAAGGGCAUAGUAAGGAAAAUAAUAUAAGCAGCUGAGAUUAUUUGAUUUGCCACUAAUUUAGAAGACAAAACCAAAACAGAUUUGUUACCUAUUAGUUUUCACAGUAUCUACAGAAACUUGAAAGUAAAACUUGGUUGAGUUGUCAGCCUUUGUUCCUGAAGACCUAUGAAUGCCCUGCAUUUGCUUUGCAACUGAAGUUAAGACAAAGUGCUACAACAUUUUUUAAAAAGAUAGAUCAUAAAUUGCUAUAGCAAACUGUACUGAAAGUGUUAAUAAGCAGUACUGAGAGCAGCUAUAAAAAUCAUUGCAUAAAAUUUACUGUACUUUCUUUGCAACUGUGUAUAUGUAACAUAUACACACACGAAGUAGCAUAUGUGUGUGCAUACAUAUAUAAAAUAUACUGUAUAUUAAUUAUAGAAUAAUGGUAAGGUAAUUCUACCUCUUAUGAAGAAUUUUCUCAUGUACUUUGUUAUAAAUAGUUUUCCUUAAUAUUAAUUUUGAAAUGUAGAUAUAUAUAUACAUAUACAGCUAAUUGAUAAUAAAAUGCCUGUAUAAGCCA